rnacentral:rRNA from 1 species
CCUACGGGAGGCAGCAGUGAGGAAUAUUGGUCAAUGGACGAGAGUCUGAACCAGCCAAGUAGCGUGAAGGAUGACUGCCCUAUGGGUUGUAAACUUCUUUUAUAAAGGAGUAAAACGAGGUACGUGUGCCUUUUUGCAUGUACUUUAUGAAUAAGGAUAGGCUAACUCCGUGCCAUCAGCCGCGGUAAUACGGAGGAUCCGAGCGUUCUCCGGAUUUAUUGGGUUUAAAGGGAGCGUAGAUGGGUUGUUAAGUCAGUUGUGAAAGUUUGCGGCUCAACCGUAAAAUUGCAAUUGAUACUGGCAGUCUUGAGUACAGUUGAGGUAGGCGGAAUUCGUGGUGUAGCGGUGAAAUGCUUAGAUAUCACGAAGAACCCCGAUUGCGAAGGCAGCUUACUAAACUGUGACUGACAUUGAUGCUCGAAAGUGUGGGUAUCAAACAGGAUUAGAUACCCGGGUAGUC